rnacentral:ncRNA from 1 species
AAGAGAAGAGGACAGAACAGGCAUCUGUCGCCCAUUGUGGAGAUGUAGGGUACGCCUUCCUACCUUCUCUU